UAUCCCCUGCUUCUCGCGUGACGGGCUCAUUUAAACCCACAUUGUAACAUCGGGAUUCCUUUCUUCCACCGCUGUUUUGCAGGCCUCCCGGCGCGGCGCGCCGGAUGUUGGAAGCAGUGAAGCGACGGAGAGGUUGCCCACCUGCAUAGACGUGCAGGUUAUAAAAGGGUUCGCACGGUCACAGCGGAGGAUAA
rnacentral:other from 1 species